GUGACAGAGCUGCGGCUUCCCUGCUCCCUGCUCCCUGCGUCUCUGGGGGAGCCGUUACUUCCCAGCAUCCACACAGCAGCUCUGGACUCCAGGUUCUUUUGUCCCCCUGGAUGGCUGAGGAAAGAGGCUGGGCGUGAGUGGACCGGCAGCCACUCAGGGCGUGGUCGGGAUUCCAGGAUUCCACGCGUUCAUCGGCUCCCCGGCUGCGGCCCCCUCUGCAUCCGAUGACGGCUCCGUCACCUCCCUCUGAAGGCUGCUCGCCAGCGUGGGAUGUUCUCACUCACUUUUCCUCCUACCUUCCUUCUUCUCCUUGGGCUUUUGGGGCCUGUUCCAUCUCCCCACUCUGCUCUGUCUUCCUCUCUUUAUGCCUCGCUUCCUGAGUCCUCCAGUUCCCCAGACGCCCCCACUUACAGCCUCUCAUCCAGGCCUCUGUCAGGGCCUAGUGCGCACCAGACCCUGAGCUGGGCCUGGAGGGUGGGAGGCGGCUCCUUCUGCCCAAGCUUCACUCUUAUGACCUCACUUCUUUCCUUUCCCGUCACUCACGCCACGUCUUGCUCUUGGCAUCCUCAAGGAUGGUCCAGAAGGUUAAUAAUCCAGGUAGGAAGGUUCUGCCCCUCCUUGGAAUGAUGUGGGAGGGUGUCUGACCAGGGUGGCUCAGGAGCUGCUGUCAUUCUUUCUACUGGCCUGUCACUCAGAGAUGGCCCCUCCCAGCCCCUUUCCCCAAAUUCACAUGGUAGCCAGCACUGCUCCCCAGACUAGGGCCCAGACCCUACCAGGACCCCUCCCCCACAGUUCUUCAUGUUUAGCAUCUGGUCCUAACACAUGACAUUAUCUUAGCCCAACUGCUGUCCAAGCGCCAAUCACCAAAAGCUGACAGCCUGGAGGGGCGCCCAGGGAAAGGCUGCCUGUCCGCUCACCUCCUCCAUCUGGCCCCUCUCAGACAGAAGCGGGGAAGAUGGUCAGUGAAGAAAUGGUCCCUGGCACCUUCGUCAGGAGAUCCCAGGAGGUUCACUCCUCUGCAUCUGAUCUUGCUGUUGUGGCUGGGCAUGGGACCAAAAGAGCCAGGCAGCCAUGUGAUUCCCCCAAAGGAAGCUGUGCUGAAGACUGAGAUUCUGAAUCUGAAGACCUGUUGAAGAUUUGGGCUCUGCUUCCUGAGUGUCAGCUUUAAGGUUCUGGCCUAUGACAUCAUUGGUUUUUCCUGACACCAAGAAAACCUAAAAUCCAGACUCAGGACCAAUGGAAUCUACCUUCAAACAUCUAUCCAGCACCUCUAAUGUUCCCAGAGCUGCCCAUACUGCAAGAAGCACAGGAGGGUCUUCCUUUCCUGGGCACCACUGAGAAGCGGGAAGCUGAGUGCAAAUUGGAAGAAGGUACCCCCUCGGGCCAGAAAAAUGGCAAAAUCAUGCCCCCAAUUACAAAAAGGCCUCUACUUGGAGCCAAGAAUUAAACAAAGGGAUCAUGCAUUUUCGGUCUUUGCCCUGCCUUUUGUUAGCCUCACAUUGCACAGAGAUAAAAAUCCUACUCCUCUC